UACGUAGGGGGCAAGCGUUGUCCGGAAUUAUUGGGCGUAAAGAGCGCGUAGGCGGUCCGAUAAGUCGGCUGUGAAAGUCAGGGGCUCAACCCUUGGAAGCCGGCCGAUACUGUCGGACUAGAGUCCGGAAGAGGCGAGUGGAAUUCCCGGUGUAGCGGUGAAACGCGCAGAUAUCGGGAGGAACACCAAUGGCGAAGGCAGCUCGCUGGGACGGUACUGACGCUGAGGUGCGAAAGCGUGGGGAGCAAACAGG
rnacentral:rRNA from 1 species